rnacentral:other from 1 species
ACGGAGCUGCCCGGUGCGUCAGGUAAUUCAUCCCCAGGGCCAAUAAGCAACUCCCGGGAGCUGGCUCUGUCGUGAUCCUGGUCACGGUACCCGGCGCCCACCUGCUCACGCAGGCCUUGGGAGGAUGAGACGCCAACGGCCAUGGCGGCUCCACC